rnacentral:rRNA from 1 species
UACAGAGGUCCCGAGCGUUGUUCGGAUUCACUGGGCGUAAAGGGUGCGUAGGUGGUGAGGUAAGUCGGAUGUGAAAUCUCCAAGCUCAACUUGGAAAUGGCAUUGGAAACUACCUUGCUGGAGGUUUGGAGGGGGGACUGGAAUUCUCGGUGUAGCAGUGAAAUGCGUAGAUAUCGAGAGGAACACCGGUGGCGAAGGCGAGUCCCUGGACAAAACCUGACACUGAGGCACGAAAGCUAGGGGAGCAAACAGG